rnacentral:misc_RNA from 1 species
UCUCCGUUGGUGAACCAGCGGAGGGAUCAUUACAGGACUCGCAAGACUCCCGUAGCCACCGUGAACCCUACCACUCGUUGCCUCGGCGGGCCGCCCUCGGGCGCCCGCCGGCGGCCCACAACCCAUUGCCUGACGCGCUGCAUCUCCGAGUCGCACACAAACGAAUCAAAACUUUCAACAACGGAUCUCUUGGUUCUGGCAUCGAUGAAGAACGCAGC